ensembl:ncRNA lncRNA:CR44414 long non-coding RNA:CR44414
GCAACGUGUCUUAAUUUUGGUGGGGCGUGUAUGGUGAUGGCUUUUAUUCACUGCACAUGUGAUUCAGCAGCCUUUAUUGAGUAGGUAAACAGCAAACAGGAAUUUCAAAACCAGAUUCACAUUUGCAAUAAAUUUCGUUAUAACUCAGUUCAAAUAGAUUUAUAUUCUUUAAAGAUUUGUGCAAAUAAAGGUCCAUCCGAAGCAGCUUCCUUUGUUAUAAAAUUUAAUCAUUUAGGCGUGAAGAAUAUCAAACUAUAGUUUCGUUUGUCCGAGAUCAUAACCAUCCCCGUGCAGCUUUAAUAAGAAACUCGCGCAUUGAUUUGAACUGGAUUAAUCCGGGGAAAAACCUGGCGUAACACAAGAAGUGCCACUGGAAACAGGAUUAAUCGAGCAGGGUACUGGACUGUCCAAGACCAAACAAAGCGGCAGCUGGGCAAGACAAAGGAUCGCGAGUCCCUCGACAAUGCAAUAUCCACUUAAGGUCCAAGCGAGGCGAGAGGAAACUCGUUAUGAGUCACACAAAUCUCAAGCUUCGCGGUGAGGGUCUCCGAUACAGAUCCAGAUCCACCUAAGUAUAUGCCGUAUCUUUUGGGAGUAGCAACCCUUUUAUUCGAAGGCGUCGCGGUCAGUCGCGAAAACAAUCAGCGUUCAUAAAUGUUGAUUAUCAGGAUGAUAGUGUGCAUAGCGAUAGUGAUGAUGAUGGUGAUGAUCAACGGCUGCCACCACCAUGAACACUGCGAGAAAUAAUGGUAGAGAUUAAAGGAGUCUACAUAAAAUACUUACAAAUUCUGUAAGAAUGAUAAAUAUUAAAAU